UGGCAGUAGUUCAAUACUAGGGUCAGCAUCUUAUGAAACUGUAAUCUACUUCAUAGAUGGAGAAAAUGGUUUGUUUUUUUUUUGAGAGAGAGAGAGAGAAAAUGCGCGCAUGCACAUGGGGCAGGAGCCCAAAGAGAAGAGAAAUCUUAAGCAGGCCCCACGCGCAGCAUGGAGCC